GACGAACGCUGGCGGCGUGCCUAAUACAUGCAAGUCGAGCGAUGAAGACUGGUGCUUGCGCCAAUGUGAAGAGCAGCGAACGGGUGAGUAACUCGUGGGGAAUCUGCCUUUGAGCGGGGGACAACAUUUGGAAACGAAUGCUAAUACCGCAUAACAACUUUAAACAUAAGUUUUAAGUUUGAAAGAUGCAAUUUCAUCACUCAAAGAUGAUCCCGCGUUGUAUUAGCUAGUUGGUGGGGUAAAGGCUCACCAAGGGGAGGUAAGAUAGCCGCCCAGAGAGGGUGCUAGGCAAAACUGGGACGAGAACACGGCCAAAAACCCUGGGGGAGGGAGCCGUAGGGGAUUCUCAGGGAUGGCAGCAAGUGUGAACGAGCGACGCCGCGUGAGAGCAGGAGGUUUUCGGGUCGUAAAACUGUGGUGGUCGAGAAGAACGUUGGGGAGAGUGGAAAGCGCAUCUAGUGACGGUAACUACCGAGAAAGGGACGGCUAACUACGUG
rnacentral:rRNA from 1 species